CAUACGUGCUGGUUCUGUGUCUUUGAUAGCUGUCAUUUUCUCAUCUCGACAACGUUUAGUGUGGGACUCUUGGCGAUGAACAAAACAGCGCCAAACCCAGUUUACCCUGUCCACCGCCUCAACCAGUUCAACGAAAUCUGGCUACUAGUUCCAUAGAACCACCGCCAGCUUCCAAUUCACUCAGUCCACGGACUCCACCAAUUAACCAAAUCUGGCUACUCACUUCAUAUCACACGCCGACGUACCAGCAGUACAUCCGCGUCGUUUUCGAUAACUAUAUUUACGGAAGAUCUUCAGAGGUUGAUCAGAGCCGAUUACCAAUUUGCUGCUACUCUAAACCUUCUCAGCGGCGUUCGCCACUAAUAGUUACACAGAUAUGCAGAGAGUCACGCAGUAUUUCUUGGAUUUCAUUGAUCACAGCGAGCAUGGUGAUAGCUAUCAAUCUGCUGCUUACAUGAUGCCAAAAAGAAAUUGGAAUAGCAAAACAAAUCAGAUGGUACCCGACCAAAGUGAAAGGGUCCACAUCAGAAAAAUGCAUCGCUCUGAUGGUUUUCUGCCCACAUGCUAAUGCUGACUGCAUCAAUCUGCAUCCAAUUCAUAUGUAGAACGUCAAACACUCCUCUCCUGUUUUCGAACGUAGCUCUGCGCUAAAGGGUCAUCAAGAUUAGAUGGGGCACCCUGUUCCUCUACUGAUUCACUAUGUCUCUGCAUUAUAGUCUCUACAAAGAAGACAACAUAUAGCAAAGAUAAUACGCCGAGACAUGGCACUCCUUGCUGGUUAUAGAUGGCAGGUACAACCUCUCCUGGUGCUUGGUCGGCCAGCCACAUCUUUUGCUUCGGCAGCCACCUCGCUCUUACAUGAAAUCUUGUUGGAUACUCUUUGCAUGAGGAUUCACCCGUCAGAAAAUCCUUCUCGUUGUCACGAUCCAUCCAUCGUAACAUAAUUGGCUCACCUGAGCUAAAUUAUAAAUUACCAAUGUGCAGUGAUGGAACCAGGAUUUCAAUGUCGGAUUCAUUGACAUUCAUACUAAAUUUUGUUGUUUCCCGAGUUAAAAAUGUUGGCAAAAUUUUGGAAAAAGUCUCUGUAUCGAAAUGGAGAAGUUUGCUGCAACUCCUUAACAAUAACAGCCGCAAACAUUUCAGCA